AUGGCUGGGAGGGAGCAAGUAAAGGGUGGAGUAAAGGCUCCUGCUGCUGCAGACCCGCUCCCAGUGCAGCUGCCCUGGCCUGGCUGGGCACAACGGGAUGAGGGCACAUCCCUGCCCUGCGGACAGGAGCAGGGGCAGGGGCAGGGGCAGGGCUUAGGGGCAGGAGCAGGGUCUCCAUCUCCUUCCCCAGGGCUCGCCCACGGCCAGGCUCCCAGCGCCUCGCUCGGGUCUCAGCGGGUCCCAUCCCGCGCACGGGGCUGCCGGGCCGGGGGUCCCCGCUGCGGGAGGGGGGAUGCGGGAGGGGCGCGGGUGGGAGACCCCCAGGGGACCUCCGUGCGCUCCCCGAGCAGGGGCUGGGCAGGAGCCCCCCGGGUGCCGCAGCAGCGCUCCACGGAGCGGGGCCAACUUCUCGCUGGCCGGGGGCUAAGGAUGCUGCCCCCAAACAACCCCCCCCCCCGUAACCUCCAUCCCUCCAUCCCUUCCUCCGUCCCUCCCCGGCGAUGCUCCGGGCCCCGCGCUCCGCCUCCCCGCGGGGCCGGGGCCGGGGCCGGGGCGGGCGGAGGGCGGGGAGGGGACCCGGGGCCGGGCGGGUCCCGCCGCCGCCCCGCUCCGAGCCGAGCCGAGCCGAGCCGAGCCGCUCCGCCGCCCCUCCAUGGCCCCGGCCGCGGCGGCGGCCCCCAGCGCCCGCCGCCCCCGGGGGACCGGCCCCGGCCCCGGCCCCGGCCCCGGUCCCGGUCCUGGUCCCGGUCCCGGUCCCGGUCCCGGUCCCGGCGGGAGGCGCAGGGCUCGGCGGCCGCGGGUGAGUGCGGGCUGGGGGCGGCGGGGAACGGGGCCGGGGGUCGGGGGGAGCCGGGGGGGAACGGGGGGGACCGGGGGAGAGCCGGGGAUGCGGGCACGGAGGGGGCGCGGGGCGCACGGACGCACGGACAGGGGGCGCACAGACGGACGCGCGUCCCCCUCCCCGGGCACCGGCACCCACGGGUGGGCACGGACACGCGUGGGAACGCUGAGACGAGGGGACCAGGGUGCUUGGAGCAAGAGCAAGCACACACACACACACUCACAUGCUCACACACACGCUCACACUCACGUGCAAGCACCCAGCCACGCACCCUUGCACACCCAGGAGCGCCGGCUGGAGUACCCAAACCCCAGCACUUUUUUUUUGCAGUUCCCCGAGUCUCCUCGCAGAGGGGUUUACGUGAGGGCUGGUCACGGAGCUAA
rnacentral:lncRNA from 1 species